UGGGGAAUCUUGCACAAUGGGGGAAACCCUGAUGCAGCGACGCCGCGUGAACGAUGAAGCCCUUCGGGGUGUAAAGUUCUUUCGACAGGAACGAUAAUGACGGUACCUGGAGAAGAAGCUGCGGCUAACUACGUGCCAGCAGCCGCGGUAAUACGUAGGCAGCGAGCGUUGUUCGGAGUUACUGGGCGUAAAGAGUGCGUAGGCGGCGAGCCAAGUUUGGUGUGAAAUCUCCCGGCUUAACCGGGAGGGUGCGCCGAAAACUGGUUGGCUGGAGGAUGGGAGAGGAAAGCGGAAUUCCUGGUGUAGCGGUGAAAUGCGUAGAUAUCAGGAGGAACACCUGCGGUGUAGACAGCUUUCUGGACCAAAACUGACGCUGAGGCACGAAAGCGUGGGUAGCAAACA
rnacentral:rRNA from 1 species